rnacentral:rRNA from 1 species
AUUGAUUUUAUGCUUGCAUAAAUGAUUUUUGGAUUCGGAGCGAGUGGCGAACUGGUGAGUAACACGUGGGUAACCUGCCCCGAAGCGGGGGAUAACAUUUGGAAACAAGUGCUAAUACCGCAUAAUUAGUUGGAACCGCAUGGUUCCAACUUGAAAGAUGGCUCUGCUAUCACUUUGGGAUGGACCCGCGCCGUAUUAGUUAGUUGGUGAGAUAAAAGCCCACCAAGACGAUGAUACGUAGCCGACCUGAGAGGGUAAUCGGCCACAUUGGGACUGAGACACGGCCCAGACUCCUACGGGAGGCAGCAGUAGGGAAUCUUCCACAAUGGACGAAAGUCUGAUGGAGCAACGCCGCGUGAGUGAUGAAGGUUUUCGGAUCGUAAAACUCUGUUGUUAAAGAAGAACAAGUGUUAGAGUAACUGUUAACACUUUGACGGUAUUUAACCAGAAAGCCACGGCUAACUACGUGCCAGCAGCCGCGGUAAUACGUAGGUGGCAAGCGUUGUCCGGAUUUAUUGGGCGUAAAGCGAGCGCAGGCGGUUUUGUAAGUCUGCUGUGAAAGCCCUCAGCUCAACUGAGGAAGUGCAGUGGAAACUACAAAACUUGAGUACAGAAGAGGAAAGUGGAACUCCAUGUGUAGCGGUGAAAUGCGUAGAUAUAUGGAAGAACACCAGUGGCGAAGGCGGCUUUCUGGUCUGUUACUGACGCUGAGGCUCGAAAGCAUGGGUAGCGAACAGGAUUAGAUACCCUGGUAGUCCAUGCCGUAAACGAUGAAUACUAGGUGUUGGAGGGUUUCCGCCCUUCAGUGCCGCAGCUAACGCAUUAAGUAUUCCGCCUGGGGAGUACGACCGCAAGGUUGAAACUCAAAGGAAUUGACGGGGGCCCGCACAAGUGGUGGAGCAUGUGGUUUAAUUCGAUGCUACGCGAAGAACCUUACCAGCUCUUGACAUCUUCUGCCAACCCAAGAGAUUGGGCGUUCCCUUCGGGGACAGAAUGACAGGUGGUGCAUGGUUGUCGUCAGCUCGUGUCGUGAGAUGUUGGGUUAAGUCCCGCAACGAGCGCAACCCUUAUUAUUAGUUGCCAGCAUUUAGUUGGGCACUCUAGUGAGACUGCCGGUGAUGAA